rnacentral:rRNA from 1 species
GAUGAACGCUGGCGGCGUGCCUAAUACAUGCAAGUCGAGCGAACGGACGAGAAGCUUGCUUCUCUGAUGUUAGCGGCGGACGGGUGAGUAACACGUGGAUAACCUACCUAUAAGACUGGGAUAACUUCGGGAAACCGGAGCUAAUACCGGAUGAUAUUUUGAACCGCAUGGUUCAAAAGUGAAAGACGGUCUUGCUGUCACUUAUAGAUGGAUCCGCGCUGCAUUAGCUAGUUGGUAAGGUAACGGCUUACCAAGGCAACGAUGCAUAGCCGACCUGAGAGGGUGAUCGGCCACACUGGAACUGAGACACGGUCCAGACUCCUACGGGAGGCAGCAGUAGGUAAUCUUCCGCAAUGGGCGAAAGCCUGACGGAGCAACGCCGCGUGAGUGAUGAAGGUCUUCGGAUCGUAAAACUCUGUUAUUAGGGAAGAACAUAUGUGUAAGUAACUGUGCACAUCUUGACGGUACCUAAUCAGAAAGCCACGGCUAACUACGUG